UCGCCGGCCGAGGCGUCUAUCCCAGGCGGUGCUGGGGGCAUUUCCGGACUAAGAUGGCUGCAGUGCGAGUACUGAGGAACUGGAGCCGCGGUGCUGGGCGGCUGGUAAGCAGGUGGGGGUGGACCUGAGGCCGGGAAGGAGUGACUCGUUCCGAGGCAUCCGGGGCUGGCGUGUUACAUUCUCCUGCGAUAGCCACGCGGACCGGGCACGCGUGGUGGACAGGUGGAGGGACGCAUGCCAGGGGAGGGCAGAAAAGGUGGCGAGGCGACAGGUCUGGAAACCCACUACCUCCCUUUACGUGAACGAGCUUCUACUGCGAUUCGGUCGUCCUCCUACUUUGUCUACUGAAACCCAGCUACCCUUUCAUCUGCUGCCCUUUCCUUAAGCACUUUCUAGGUGCUAGGCAUUAAGAUAGGCGCUAGGGAUGCAGAGAUUUUUUUUUUUUUUCAUUAGUUUAUUGAGCACCCAUGGAGUGCCAGACACCGUAGUAAGAUCCCCGACCUCGGGAAAUUUACCGGUUAAGCAAAGAGCAUCACCACAGAGUCCUUACCCUUCGGGAACUGAAAGUCUUGAAAUUCACUCUCUUCGCUCCUUUGUACCACCACCUCUCCUGCUAAAGACUCUCUUUAGCAGACCUUUAACAGCAGGCACUGACACAUCCUAGUAAUGAUACUGUUUUACCCUAUUUGCACAACUGUUUUCUUUUUGAGCUCCUGUUUCCUGCAGCGAUCGACUCAUGAUCUUACAAAAUCGAAUUUAAGAGUCUGCUGUGAACCAGGUACUCUUCUCAACACUGGGGAUGCAAAUAAGUCAGGCAACAUCCUUUCCUCCCAGAGAUUGCAACUUUGUGGUGAAGAACAGAGAGGGAGACAGAUGUAGAACCUAAGCAAUUACAAAUUGUUAUAAGGAAGGCGGUGAUGGCAAAUGCAAGAAGCUACAGGGACACACAGGAGUGGAUAUUUUUAGAGCACUUGGGCGUCAGAGAGGAGUCCCUACCAAAUACUGAAUAACACAACAUAAGUAGAAGAUAACCAGGAGAAGAAUGCUCUUAGCAGCACCUAGUAGGUGGUGGCAGCCCUUCUUUUGAGAGCUUUCCAUUUGUGGCUUCUGUGACCCGUUUCCCAGUAUUCCUCCUACAUCAUUGGCCAUUUUGUUCCAAUCUCUUUCCCCCACCCAGCUUUUAAAUACAAUUAUGUGCUACAUAAUGACAUUUUGCAGUCCAUAUAUAUGACAAUGGAGUGCACGUACAAAUGUGUAACCACAAAUCCCACCAUUAUGUACAACUAUAAUGCACCAAUUAAAAAAAUGUGGAAAAAAAAAAUAAAACCAAGAAGGGGUGAAAUCAGGCAAUGGUGUUUAGGAUCACUAGAUAACCAUAUGCAAAUGAAUGAGGUUGAACACUUACCUCAUACCACAUUGUAAAAAUUAAGUCAAAAUGAAUCAAGGAGCUGAGUGUGGUGGCUCCCUCCUAUAAUCCCAGUAACUUGGGUGGCUGAGGCAGGAGGAUGAUGAGUUCAUAGCCAGCCUCAGGAAUUUAGCAAGGCCCUAUGCAAUUUACCAAGACCCUGCCUCAAAAUAAAAAUUAAAAAGGACUGAAGAUGAGUCUCAGUGGUUGAGCACCUCUGAGUUCAAUUCCUGGUACCAAAAAAAAAAAAUCAAGGCCUAAAUGUAAGAGCUAAUACUAUAAGACUCUUAGAAGAAAAUGUAGAGGUUAAUAAUCAUGACUAUAGAUGUGGGGGAUAUAUCUUAGAUAUGAUACCAUAAGCAUAAGCAUCAGGAGAAAAAGUAGAUCAGUUGGAUUUAUCAAAAUUUAAACCUUUGCACUUCAAAAGACAUCAUUAAAAAAGACAACCCAUAGGCAUGGGGUUGUGGCACUCGCCUAGCAUGUGUGAGGCACUAAAUUCGAGCCUCAGCACCACAUAAAAAUAAAAUAAAGGUAUUGUGUCCACCUAUAACUAAAAAAUAAAUGUUUUUUAAAAAGACUACAAAAUGGGAAUAUAUAUAUAUAUAUAUAUAUAUAUAUAUAAGCUGGAAAUUUCCUAUUGGCUUGUGUUUUUACUAUACUUUCUCUGUGUUCACUGAUGCAUUGAGAAACACAAAUACCUUUGUGUUACAGUUGCCUGCAAUAUUUAGUACAGUCACAUACUUUACAAAUUUGUAGCAUAAGAGAUAUAGGCUAUUUACUGGUAAGCCAUUUGGUUUGUAUAAGAAUACUUGAAGAUGAUCCCACAGAAGAGAUCACCUAAUCAGGCAUUUCUCAGAACAUGUACCUGUCAUCAAGUGAUUAGGACUCUUGAUGUUUUGUUUCCUUUUUUUAUAAUGGGGAUUGAAACUAGAGGUGCUUUACUGAUUGAGCUACAUUCCCUAGCCUUGUUUAUGUUUAAUUUUGAGACAGGGUCUCACUCAGUUGCUAGGGCAGUCCUUGAAUUUGCAGUCCUCCUGCAUCAGCCUCUCAAGUUCCUGGGAUUACAGGCAUGUACCACCAUGCCUUGCUGACUUUUGGUGUUUCUAAGGGCUUUAAGUUUGGCCCUCUGCACUUUUCUCACUUCCUAGUUAACUCAUCCACUUUGGAUUUAGUUACCAUCUAUGUUGGUGAUUCCUAAAGUUCUUCAAUCUUCCCGUCAUGUCUACUCAAGACCCACAUCAUUGUCCAAGAAAUUUUCAUUUGCAUGUAUAUGAGGUGUUUGUCAAGUGCAGAUAAUAAAAACCCAACAAACAAGCAGGAAAUUAAGUAUCUGAGUAUAUAGAGCAUCCUAAAAUUAGAGGUCAGCUGACACUGAUAAAGUGGUCCACCAUCAUCAGAGUUCAGCAGUUCAUUUGACUUUUCCUUCAGGGUCACAAGAGAGCUACUACAAUCCUGCCCCCUGCCCCUGCUCCCUACUCACCCCAGUACUGGGGAUUGAAUCCAGGGACAUUCUACCACUGAGAUACUUCUAAGCCCUUUCCUAAUUUUUAUUUUGAGACAGGCUGGCCUCUAACUUGCAAUCCUCUUGCCUUAGCCUCCCCAGUAGCUGGAAUUACCGGUGUACACCACUGCACCCAGCAUACAACUUCUUACUCAGAAUUCAAGACAGGAAAGAGGAAGAAUUGGUACCAGGUCAACUGACUAGAACCAUGUUACAUGGCCAUAUUAGCACAACAGUGGAAAAGCUAGCUUUUAGUCAUCUCAUGUGUGCCAUAAUAUCUUAGACACAUCAAACUUGAGGCUGUAGAACAAAAUCCUCAAACCUGUUUCUCAUCAUUCUAGCCUGUAACUCUCACUGAAGAAAUCUGGUCACUAUUCUCUGCCCCACCUGUACUGCAGGUGUCCUGGUUCUAACUAACUGGACAUUUUUGCCUCUGAUCUGUGCCUUUCCAAUCUGUUCUCCAUAGUUGUAGCCAGGGUGAUCUUAUCAAGUAAGGCACAUAUUUGGUAAUGUUAUUUUCUUAUUUAAGACUGUCCUCAACAAAAUGUCCAAAAUUCAGAUAACUGAAUAAAUGUAUGAUUUGGAUCUUUUUAAUUGCUAAGGCUUCAUUCCUUAUUAAAAAUCUACCCAUCCUGCCAGGCAUGGUGGCACAUGCCUGUAAUCCCAGCAGUUCGGAAGGCUGAGGCAGGAGGAUCGUGAGUUCAAAGCCAGCCUCAGCAAUGGUGAGGCGCUAGGCAACUCAGUGAGACCCUGUCUCUAAAUAAAAUACAAAAUAGGGCUGGGGAUGUGGCUCAGUGGUUGAGUGCCCCCGAGUUCAAUCCCCAUACCAAAAAUAAAUAAAAAUCUACCCAUUCCCUUGCCAGGUGCAGUGGCACACACUUGUAAUCUCUGGAGGCUGAGGCAGGAGGGACUAAAGUUGGAGACCAGCCUCAGCAACUUAGUGAAACUCUAUCUCAAAAUGAAAAAUGAAAAGAGCUGGGGAUCUGACUCAAUGGUAAAGCACCUCCAGAUUUAGUCUCCAGUACCAAAAAAAAAAAAAAAGCCAAACUCUGACACUUCCCCCACCUUCGUGCACACUAAGAAUGCUAUUAAACUACUUGAGUUAACCAAUUAACACACCUCUGUUUCAUACCUUUGUACAUGUAUUCCCUCUGAUUUUACAAAGACUUUUGCCUUAAUCCCCACGGCCUUAUCUGCAACACGCUUCAUCUACUGAGUUACUCCUUCUCAUCCCUCCGGUCUUGCUUCAAGAUUACUUUCUCCAGCUGGGCUCCCUUCCUUUGGGUUCCUUUAACAUACUCUAUUUCCUCCAUUGUAGUACUGUGUUAGUACCUGUUUGUCUUUAUCUUUCACUCUACAUUUCCUAAGGGAAAUAAUUAUUUCCAAGUGCCUAGCCCAUUGUAAAUAUUCAUAAAUCAAUAUUUGUUGAAGGACUCAGUAAAGAACAGUUAUUGCUUUUAAUGUUUUAUAAAAAGUUGUAAGCAACAAGAGCCCUUAUCACCCAAAUAAAUUAUCCAGAUGAAGGUGGUCUUAUCAUGUCAUGUUUCACAUUUCCCCAGGACAUCAUGCCUUUGACUCUUAAUUACCUUAGCCAUGUUAUAUUGGAUUUUUCUAUGAUGUCUGCUUCCUGUGGAACAGAAAAAGUAACUUGAAUGUAGGGACUACUUACUGUGCCCUACUUAGUUUUGAGUUGCAUAGUCCAACACAGUGUCUUACUUUGGGUAUGUUCAACAGUUGCCUAUUGAGGUAUUAUUUAUUUCCUUACUAUGCUAAUCUGCUAAACCUUUUCAUCUCCCUCUGUUUUUGUAUUUUAGUUGUAGGUGUGGAAUUAUUAAUAAUUACCUUGAGUUAAUAGGUAUAAACUGGAUUGCCUCAGGCAAGUUGGGACGAAUAGUCUCUAGAGAGUUAGAUGUACUGAAGCAUUGUCGAUAGGUGAAUUAAGAAUUGCCUUCACUGGAGACUGAAAUGGAACAAACUAAUUUCCAUGCAUGUGUGCUGAUGUUAAAAUGAACCCAACUAUUUUUUAAAAAUAGAAUGCACUAAUAAAAGCAUAUAAAAUAAUAAAAAAAGAAUUGCCUUAAAUAUAAAAUAUAUAAAACUGGUAAGCUGUGUAAGCAUGCCCUUUUAUUUUUUUCAGGAUAGGGAAUACUGUAUUGUUUUUGUUUUAAAAACAUAUUAUUACGAAACAUUUUAAACACGUGCCAAAGUGAAAAGGAUAAUGCAGUGAUUUCAGUAAGUUCAUCUCUCAGCUUCAACCACAAUCAGCCUUGUUCAGUCUCUUUUCCACCAAGUAUGUUUAACUCCUCAUUUCACAGAGUUUCAGAAAAGUCUCAAGAAUAGAACCAGGAACAUUCAUAAACCCUCUGCCUUGGUCCCUCGCUGCUGAUGGAUUGUUUUCUUCCUCUCUUGUCUUGUUUCUCCUUUCCCCCUCUAUCUACCAAUAAUUUAUUACUCUUUUGCUUUGAAAUUAUUUAAUGUACAUUUCCAAUGUCACCUCAGCAUAAUCAUCAAGAAAUUGAUGUUGAUGUAGCACUGCUAGCCUCAAUUUUGCCUAUUGUGUGCGUUAUGAGCUUUAUAUUAAAUUUAAACAAAUCUGGUUCGGGAUAACAUGUUGCACCUAGUUGUCACCUCCCUCCAAAUUUCUUGAAUCUCAGUUGUUCAUUGACUUUCAAGGCAUGCCUUUCUAAAUUGGACAUUUAAAGCCUUAUGCUUAAUGUACUCGUCUAUUCUAGUGGGGGGAAAUGUCUUCUCUAGCUUGAAAAAUAUUUUUUUCCCUCUUUUCUGUGCCUUUUAGUCCAUCUAUCCAGCAACUUCACAAAUAUUUUUGGUAUUUUUAUGGUGCUGGGGAUGGAACCCAGGGUCUUUUGCAUGCUAGAAAGUGCUCUACCUCAGAGCUACAACCCUAGCCUUAGACUUCUUUUCAUAUUCAUUUAGUAGCUAUUAAUCACAUAAUGUCUGUGCACUUCUAUUGCAUGUUUUUCCCCCAUUAUUAAUCACUUCAGUCAGGAGUCUUGUUUCAUGUCUCAGAUACUAUGAUAGUUUCUUGAACCAUUCUCUCCAGGCUUUACCUGUUGUGAGCUAUUUAAUAAACUAUUCCUACAUUAAUUUCCUAAUCCUUUUUCUUGAGUAGCCCAUGAUACAUAAGUUCAAACUUUUAUCCCGACAUUUACAGUAACCAACAUUUUGGUCCUUGAGCUAUCCUCUGCUUUCUUUUUAUGAAUUUGAUCAAGCUACUCGCUGCCCCAGCAGACAUGCUAGGCAAAUUGCUGCUGUUUAUGCUGUUGCCUCUGCCAUAAAAUUGCCUUUCUGCUGUUUUAUUAUCUAUACAUAUUAUGCCACGCCCAAUUUAAAUCUUCCUUCAAGAAGCCUUCCCACAUUAACUAAUCUGGAAAGGAAAAAAAAUCUACAUAUUUAUAAAUAAACAACACUUGAUUGCCUAUAACUUAUUUUUUUUUAAGAGAGAGAGAGAAUUUUUUAAUAUUUAUUUUUUAGUUUUCGGCAGACACAACAUCUUUGUUUGUAUGUGGUGCUGAGGAUCGAACCCGGGACGACGCACACAUGCCAGGCGAGCGCGCUACCGCUUGAGCCACAUCCCCAGCCCCUAUAACUUCUUCUUAUAAAAACUUAAGACAGAUUCAAGGCCAGCCUCAUCAACUUAAUGAAACCCAGACUCAAAAUAAAAAUAGAAAGGAUUGGUGAAGUAGUGGGUGAUAAACUGUCCUUGAGUUCAUUCCCCAGUACCAAAAAAAAAAAAAAAAAAAGAGAGAGAGAGCAUACAUGCCUUUAUGGGGGCUGGGAGGUAAUUCCAGCAACUUGGGAAGCUGAGGCAGGAGGAUCGAAAGCUCAAGACCAACCUCAGCAACUUAGCAAGGCCCCAAGCAACUUAGUGAGACCCUAUCUCAAAAUAAGAAAUAAAAAGACCGUGGAUGUAGCCCAGUGGUUGAGCACCCCUGGGUUAAAUCUGUGCUAACAUACACACACACAAAUUUAAAGUUAUGUUAAAGUAAACAUUAUAUAUUGAUGAUGCUUUCAUAUUUAUAAUUAAGAAUCUUAUUUAUUUUUAUGAAAAAUACUAUAAAAUAAAAAAUUAGGUUUAAUUAAAGAAAAAAUUCAUUUAAAUUCAUAAACGAUUUUUUACUUUGAUUUCCAAGUUGUUACUGAUUUCUGAAAGCAAAGAAAAACAAGUAUAAUUUUAAAUCAUUCCUUAAACAAGUAUAAUUUUAAAUCAUGCAUCUCUACUUUAAAAAGCUCAUCCAAAAUCCACCAGUCUUUAUUAUAUCUACAUUUUUUUCUGUUAAUGUUAAGGAAAGAUAAAGCCUAACUAAAAUAAUUAAAAUCUAUAGGUUAAAACUCAGCAGCCACCAUGCUUGGCAAUAGGCCUUUUCAUAUUUCCCAUGGAAAUAGGACUUCAGCUUUUUUUCUGAGUGGAGAUUUUGGUAUCAUAAUGAAGUAAAGUUUGCCUCUUGGUCACAGUACUGGUUCCUUAGGUAGGGUGGGUUGUAGAACACUAUUUCUGGGAGAAGAAACUUUAAGGAGAUUUAUUAGAAACACAACUUUAUAUUAGGGCUCAGGAACAAAAUGGGAGACGGUCUGCAUCCUGCUUUCUCAGGCUGCCCUUGCUUACAUGAUAACUUAAGCAUGCCUACAAGCUGAUGUGUUUCUUUUUUCUUUUUCUUUUUUUUCUUUUUUUAAUUAGCUACACAUGACAUUACAAUGAUCUUGGCAAUUCUUACAUUUGAAUCGGGGUAUAAUUUCUCAUUUUUCUGAUUGUACAUAUUGCAGAAUCACAUUGGUCAUAGAGUCACCUAUAUACAUACAGCAAUCAUAAUGUCUAUUCUAUUCUGCUGCCCUUCGUAUCCCCCCUUCCACUCUACUCCCCUCCCAUCACUUCUCUCUGUCCAGUCUAAUGUGACACACUUUUUUUUUUUUGUUUUUCUCCUCACAACAUCAUACACGUAUUCUGUGUAACGAUGAGGGUCUCCUUCCAUCUUCCGUGCAACUCCACUUCUCCCUCCUUUUCCCUCUGAUAUGUUUAUAUAGAAUAUAUUAGGGUUUUUUUUUUGUUUUUUUUUUUUUAGAAUAUAUUGUUAACAUUUCUUUAAGGAAUUUGGGGAAAAUCAGAAAUAUAUGAACAAAUCUAAUUCUGAGGAUAUAAUAUUACUAAACAAAAGGAUAACAAAAUGCUCUCUUUAUACUAGAGUUUUGAGUACUUUUGAUUUCUUGGACAAAAGUACUUAAGAAAAUAAGCACUCUUGCCAGGCAUGGUGGUACUUGGCUGUAAUCUCAAUAGCUUAGAAGGCUGAGGCAGAAGGAUCGAGAGUUCAAAGCCAGCUUCAGCAAUUUAGCGAGAGGGCAACUCAGUGAGACCCUGUCUCUAAAUAAAAUACAAAAAAGAGCUGGGGAAUAUGGCUUAGUGGUUAAGUAGUGCCCCUAAAUUUAAUCCCCAGUACCAAAAAUAAAAGAAAGAAAGUAACCACUUUUCAUAAACUUUAUUGUCCCUGUUGCUAAUUUUCUGGUUUCUGUCUAGAUGUAAAUCAUAAUGAUGGUUCUGCUUUUUUAAAUAGAAUUGAAAUUCAGUAUAUACUUUAAGAGAUAAGGCAUUAAGAUAAUUAAUAAACACUUUUUUGUUGUUUUCUCAUUUGUAGAUUUGUGUUCGCUAUUUUCAAACAUGUAGUAAUGUUCAUGUUUUGAAGCCAAAAUGUGUGUGUUUCUUCGGUUAUCCUUCAUUCAAGUAUAGUCAUCCACAUCAAUUGCUGAAAACAACUGCUGGUAAGUAUGAU
rnacentral:lncRNA from 1 species